AAAAGAAGUCCCACACUCAACAGCAACACAGCUAACAAAGGUGGAAACGAUGGCCCAGGAGGAGAGAGGAUGGGCACAGGAUUGGGAGAGUCCCUGUGUCCCCUGAGCAAAAUUUCUAAAAGUAGAUACUGUUUAAAAGGGAGGAAAUACAUUUGACAUUGUGGCUGUCAUGAGUGCAAGAGAAAGUGGUCAGUGGAUGGUGCUAGGAAGCACCAUUGUUCUCAUCCAUAACUGACUCUCACCCAGCUUAACCCCAGGACCUCUUCCUAUAAGGCUGGAACCCCACUAGACCUUUGCCUCCAAGGGCCGCCCUGAACUUUCCUUUUCCUCCUUUUUGGAAGAGAAACUCGGAAAUGCAUGCGUUUUCAUUCGGAGCUUGCUAACCAUCCCUCAGUGCUCUCACAUUUGGGUGCUGAUUUGCGUCUCUGCACUUAGCAUCACGCAAAAUGUAGAAAUGACCACUUUUUCCUGAUGCCCAAGAAAAACUGGCUGAGAUGCAGGAGUAUCCCCAAACAGGAACUUGUGCCUGAUCAAUGUGAGCAGUGUGAAUUUGGUCCUCCCGCUCCGGAUGAGCUCAGCUUCACUCCAGGGUCCUAUGAGAAGUGAGGGCUGGAAAAUCUCUGUGUGAGAAACAGUAUCACUUGAGGAAGUCUUAAGGCUUCUUAGAGCAGUUUCAGGUUCGAAGCAAAAUUGAGAGAAACAUAGAGAGAUUUCCCAUAAACUCCUGCCUCUGCACACAUGCAUCCUCCCCCAUGAUCACCUUUGCCCACUAGAGUGGUACCUUUGUCAGAACUGAUGAGCCUACACGGGUACAUCUUUAUUAUACAGAGUCCAGGGUUCACACUCGGGUUCACCCUUGGGCUCAAUGUGUUUCAAAAGUGCUGCACAUUCCUUGGGUUUGACCAGUGUAUAAUGACAUGCAUCCACCACUAUCGUAUUGUACUGAGUCGUUUCUCUGCCCUAAAAAUCCUCUGUGCUCUACGUAUUCAUCCUUCUCUACCUAGUAACCCUUGGCAACCAUUGAUCUCUGUAAUGUCUCCAUAGCUUUGCCUUUUCCAAAACACCAUAUAGUUGGAAUCACACAGUAUGUCACUGACAUUUUUUGGAGCAAGGAUUUAGUGACUAUUCCUUUCUACUAGGAUAGACUGCUUCCUUGCCUACAUCUUCUGCUGUGAGACAGCUUCACAGUCAUCUCCAUUUUGCUCUUAAUGUGGGAAGAGUAUUCCCAUUUCUCACCAUCUGUCCAAGAAUACCCAGAGAUGCCUGACAACUGAAAACAGCUUAUGUUUAAUAGCUUGAUAGGCUACGAUCUGAUGGCACGACUCCCUAAGGAGGAUCUGAUCAGAUCGCUCAUAUGAAAAUACAUUCAGUUCUGCUAUUCACUUGUUUUGAAAAUGCAAAUUUGUUCCAAUGCAAUUGGUGUAUUGGAGAACAAUUCAAGCAGAAUGAGAAUUUCAUGUUUGUGUAUGCAUGAUUUCAUCCAUGAAAAACACUAGGUGAGCAGAGACAACUGCACUUAGCUGAAUCCAGCUGCCCAGGAAGGCAUAAAACAGUCACACACUCACACACACGCACACGCACAGACACCCCUCAACAUCUGCCAGCCACCUCAGUUCACUGACAAUGUUAUGAGCCACACCCAUGCACAUUUGGUGUUAACAGCUUUCUGUUUGAUUUCCUUUCUUUUCUGUCCCUCCUGAUAACUCUCCUUCUACUGCUUCAGAAUAACUCAUAAGCUAUAAUCCUUCUGAUGCCCACUUCCACAAGCAAACUUCAGAUAUUUUUCAAGGUACAGUGCCAUAUUUAUUGUAGUAUUUAUGUAUUUCUUAACCAUUUAACAAGUGUAAAGCUGUGCUACAGUGUUUAUUAGGUUCCUUCUUUUUUAAUGUGUCAGCUGACAACGUUUCUAGGUGUUGUGCCCAGGACCCCAUAAACCUAGUAGUUUGUUGUUGUGUUUCUUUAUUUUUUUAAUUAAUUAAUUAAUUUAUUUUUGAGACAGAGUCUUGUUCUGUCGCCCGGCUGGACUGCAGUGGCGCGAUCUCGGCUCACUGCAACCUCUGGCUCCUGAGUUCAAGCUAUUCUCCUGCCUCAGCCUCCCGAGUAGCUGGGACUACAGGUGCAUGCCACCAUGCCCUGCUAAUUUUUUUGUAUUUUUAGUAGAGAUGGAGUUUUACCAUGUUGGCCAGGAUGGUCUCUAUCUCUUGACCUUGUGAUCCGCCCACCUUGGCAUCCUAAAGUGCUGGGAUUACAGGCAUGAGCCACGACACCCAGCCAAACCCAGUAGUUUUUUAUUACACAAUUCUGUAGAUUGCAGCGAUUUUUAGGAACACAUGUGGCACUCCAGCAGCAGAAAUGACUGUGUAUGACAGGAUGCAAAAAUGGAAUUCCUUUUCUCUAGGAUUCCACUGAGAGUCUAAGAUCAUUUAUGUGUCAACUUCCUCAUUUGCAAAGGAGUUAGAAAAAGAAUCACUUUUUUAUUUACUCUUGCAUGGGCAAGUACUAAAGUUGAAGAUGGAAAUUUAUUUGGAAAUUGGAGGUGCUAAAGCAAAAUAUCCAGGAGGCCAUUAGCCUGGGGUUGGUUCUGUACCUGGAACACUUACACAGGCAAACCAAAGUUCAACUUGGAAGCAUUUCUUGAAACUGAUUAUUAUUAUUUUUUUGGGGGGGGGUUGGGAGUGGUGGGGGGGAGACAACAACCAAUAAUCAGCCAAUCAGAAACAGCCAACUAGCAACCAGUCACAACCAACUAGCAACCAAUCAGUGAACUAGCAACCAUUCACAAACAACCAACUAGCAACCAAUCACAAACAGCCAACUAGCAACCAAUCACAAACAGCUAAGUAACAACCAGACACCAGCAGCCAACUAAUGAUUAAUUAUAAAAAGCCAACCAGCAACCAAUCACGAGUAGCAAACCAGUAAGCGGUCACUAACAAUCAACUAGUAGUCAAUCACAAACGGCCAACUGGGAACCAAUCUCAAACACCCAGCCACAAACAGCUAAUUAGCAACCAAUCACAGGCAGCCAACUAGUACUCUAUCACAAGCAGCCAACUAGCAACUGGUCACACACAGCCAACUAGCUGUUAGUUAUGUAAGUAGGGACUUUUCACAAGAUCAUACUCAAAUGAGGCCUGGCUGGAGUCAGUUGAGUAAUUCCUUUGUUUUCAUGGUCAGCCUGCAAAAGCUUGCUGUUCAGUCUGCUGGAGCAGAGCUCUCUGCAUCUCUUCUGUGUCUGAGUGCUGCCCGAUUGCUGAAUGCCUUAAUGCUCAAACUCUGUAAAAUUUAUUUUGUCUAAACUUUUUCCUUUCAUGGAAACUUUCUUUGGAAAGAGUAACUUGAGCACCUGGGUCCCUAAAUCUCCCUUCUCUGGGAGAAGGAUGGGUGUACUGUCCCCUCACAUCAUGCCUGGUAAGAGGAGCUCCAGGCCCCUGCUACAGCUGACUGUGCGUCCAUGGAGCUUGUGGUUACACAGUGGAGCAGUGCCUGCCUCACAGCUGAGAAGAGCCAACAACCCGGCUCCAGUGAUCUGAAAUACAUGACCAACACUAAAUUUUGUGUAUUUGCCACAACUGCUUGAAAGAAUCAUUUAGAAUGGUGUCACAGGUCCUGAGAAUAGAGAUGAUGACUGAAGAGGGUUGUGGACAAGAUGUAAGGACAUAAGUAGAGGGCAGAGAGGACACAAGAUGCCACGCUCCUGGCUGUGAAGAUAGGGUAAGGGACCACAAGCCAAGAAAUGCAGGCAGCCUCUAGCGGCCGGAAAAGGCAUGGAAACAGCUCCUUCGCUUAUCUUCCAGAAGGAAUGCAGGACUGCCUACACCUAAUCUUAAUCGAGUCAAAAUAAUGUCAGACUUCUGAGACCUCCAGAACUGCGAGAUAAUAAAUUUGUGUUGUUUUAAAACCACAGAAGGCGUGGUGAUUUGUUAGCCCAGCUAUAGAACACUUAACACGAAUCAAGGGUGGAAGCAGAGGAGAAGGGGAAGAAGGGGGAAAGACCUUCAAUUCGUCUUGGAAAGUAAGGCUCACAGUCAACUGCACACUGAGUACAAAUUUACCUCCAGGGACUGAGGCCAACCUAGCUCAGGACCAGGGCAAAAGCACCUUGAAGUGCUGAGACCAGUCUCAUCAUAUCACCACCAAUAGCACAGGGAGGCUCAAUUCCAGCAGACACACCCUGUGACUCCAUUGAUGACACAGUCUGUCUGCAAUUGGCAAACUCUUCUUUGUCUGUGAGUAAAAUGAUGUUGUUUACAAGCAAAGUUGAAAGCAUGAAAGAUUUUCGAUAAACUCCUCAGGGCUCAUUACAAUUGGAAUCAAUUUUAUGCACUCUGGUUUGGGUAGCAUCCUUCUAUGAUUAGAGGGUGGAUGCCAAGCAGCCUAUCGUGUUAAAAAUAGGAAAAAGACUAUAGGAUUGUCUAAGCAGAGUGGAAAAACAGGCUGAAAGAGUUCAGUGGGUUUGUGUAACUUUGUCUUGUAACAAAGUCAGCAAGUGAAAAGCUAGGGAAGGUUUUUUCCUCCUCUUCUGCCUCAAUUUUCUUUUUUUUUCUGCCUGAAUUUGAAUAUAGAUUUCAUCUAUUUAAACAGAAAUACAGUCUAUCCUCUUUGUAUACUGAUCUCUUGUAUUCCCCGCUUCUUCACUUUUGUUUCUUCCUCAUUACUUACAAGCAGGAUGGAAGUCAGGUAGAGCCGACUGCAUUCCAAGUCCUUCACUUUCUCUUCGGGUAGCUGGGCCCUGGGUCUGGCAUCUUGUGAAUGUAAAAUGAAGGUUGCCUUUUGUCUGGUCCUUCUUUCGUAUAACAGAUCAUAGUGAUUGGCACUCGUCACACACACAUUUUUAUUCCAGAGUAUAGUCUCAGAAAAUCCUGCUGAAGGUUCAAGCCAAGAAGACACUUCUAUGCCAAUUAAUCCUAAAACCACCCUUGCAUAAUUAUAAAUAAUGAGAGAACUCUAACAUGACCAACUCCAUCUUGCUUUUAACCUUAACUGCUCACUUGUUUUUGUUUUGCUUAUUAUAGUAGAGAGACCAAUAAAACUAUGAGAGGAAUGUAGUCAUAGUUAAACUUGGAGUCAAGGGAAACUGAUCCCCUUUCUUGUCUGGAGAUUAAAGGUACAUUCAUAAAACAAAAUUAGAAUUAUGGUAGGGGAUUAAACUUCGCUAAGGACUAGGAAGCAUUAAUGACUUGCCAUUGCUUAGUGAUUAUUAAACUCUUUCUUUGCUGCAAUAACUGUUGUUCUUGGGCCAGGCAGGGAUGGCUCAUGCCUGGAAUCUCAGCACUGUAGCAGGCCAAGGCAGGAGGAUCACUUGAGCCCAGGAAUUGGGGACUAGCCUGGGCAACAUAGUGAGACCUCGUUUCUACAAAAAAAUUUUAAAAAUUAGCUGGAGGCUGGGCGCAAUGGCUCACACCUGUAAUCCUAGCACUCUGGGAGGCCGAUGCAGGUGGAUCACCUGAGGUCAGGACUUUGAGGCCAGCCUGGCCAACAUGGUGAAACCCUGUCUCUACUAAAAAUACAAAAAAAAAAAUGGCCGGGUGCAGUGGCUCAUGCCUGUAAUCCCAGCACUUUGGGAAGCUUAGGCAGGCACAUCAUGAGGUCAAGAGAUCGAGACCAUCCUGGCCAACAUGGUGAAGCCCCGUCUCUACUAAAACUACAAAAAUUAGCUGGGCACAGUGGCCCCUGCCUGUAGUCCCAGCUACUCGGCAGGCUGAGGCAGGAGAAUCGCUUGAACCCAGGAAGCGGAGGUUGCAGUGAGCCAAGAUCGCACCACUGCACUGCAGCCUGGUGACAGAGUGAGACUCCAUCUCAAAACAAAACAAAACAACAACAACAAGAAGAAAAAUUAGCUGGGUGUGGUGGGGUAUGCCUGUAAUCUCAGCUACUUGGGAGGCUGAGGCAGGAGAAUUGCUUGAGCCGGGAGGCGAAGGUUAUAGUGAGCCAAGAUCAUGCCACUGCACUCCAGCCUGGGCGACAUGCAACAAGACUCUGUCUCAAAAAAAAAAUAAUAAUAAUAAUUAGCUGGGUAUGGUGGUGAAUGCCUGUAGUCCCAGAUAUUUGGGAGGCUGAGGUGGAGGUUGAGGCUGCAGUGAGCCAUGAUUUCACCACUGUACUCCAGCCUGGAUGACAGAGUGAGACUCUGUCUCAAAAAUAAAUAAAUAAAUUAAAUACCUUCCAUCUCACUGGCUUUUUCAGGGAGGCAGUGGAAGAACCUGUCAGUCUGUGACAAUCCCUCAAUAUUGGCUAUCAGUGACUUUUAUGGUCUGGAUGGUCAAAGAGAAAAAUGGCGCCAGAAAAACCCAGCAUGUCCCUAUUUAAUUAGGAAAAGGGGAAUUAGUAUUACUGUAUGCCUACUAUUUGCUAGGUACUGAUUAAAGUGUUGGUUACUUAGAAAUAUUUCAUUUCUUUAUCAUGUUCAUAGUUCUACCAAAGCGUAGAUUUAAUUGUCAAAUAGCACAAUCUCUAGCAACUGGUAUAACUUACGCUAUUAAUAAAUGCUAGGUCUUUGGAAUACGAGUGGAGUUUGAAACUUUAUUUUGCUUUUUAGAAAGUGGUGGAUUUCAGACAAUUUUCUUAACCUUUUCAAGCCUCAUUUAUUCAACUGACCUUUUACCCAGUGUCUGCAAUGGAUCUACCACUGGCCUGUCCUGAAGGGGUAACAGAUAAAAGACAAAGUCCCUUCUUUGCAGAGAAAACCAUUAGCCUUUAGUUUCUUCCAUGUCAAAAUUUGAAUAGUACCCAUUUUGCAGUGUGUUGUGAGAAUCAAAUGAGAUAAGUUUUUAUGAGAGUGCUUCACAUUUAGAAGAAACUCAAUAAAUGUUAAUUUCUUGCUUUCCCUAGCGGCAGCCUAGGGGGAAGGAAAUUUUUCAGCUGGGAAACUUUUAUUUGUGCUUCUCAAAUAAUAUUAACACUGCCUUGGGGGUGAGUGGUUCUGAAUAACAAGCAUGGGAACAAUAUUAGAAUGAAGGUACCUCCAUGGAUUGGUGAAAAUUGUAGUGAGAUUUUGGUCAAUAUUCAACAUUUGACAGUAACCUUAUUAUAAGAAUAAUUCUAUUAUAUUCAGUUUUAUUGUUUGGUGAGAUGUGCUGAAGCGUAACCUCACUGAUGGAGACAAAGUGAGAGAUAGUAGUGAUUUGGAGUAGAAUUAACAGAAGUGUGUAUUACUGAUCCUGGGCUUAUUAAAUGGUCUGUUACAGCCAAUGCAGUAACUCCUGUAAGAUGUGCUGAUAAGAGUAGAGUAAUACUGUGACCAUUCAUUCGCAAAUGGUAGGACCAAAGUUCUCUCUUUUUUUUUAAAUGGAGUUUCGCUCAUGUUGCUGAGGCUGGAGUGCAGUGGCGCGAUCUCAGCUCACUGCAACCUCCGCCUCCUGGGUUCAAGCGAUUCUGCUGCCUCAGCCUCUCUAGUAGCUGGGACUACAGGCAAGUGCAACCACGCCUGGUUAGUUUUUGUAUUUUUAGUAGAGACGGGGUUUCACCAUGUUGGUUAGGCUUGUCUCGAACUCCUGACCUCAAGUGAUCCACCUGCCUCGGCCUCCCAAAGUUCUGGGAUUACAGGUGUGAGCCACCGGGCCUGCCCUGGACCAACGUUCUUCUAACAGGACGAAUAUGCUUAACUCGUAUGAAACUGGACUGCAGUCUGCUCUAAAGGUGUGCCUCCUUCUUUGGCGAAUUUAUAAGGAAGUCCCCACAGCCCUCAGGACAGAGACUGAACAAGGGAUGUGACUGCUGUGAAUACUCCCAGCCAAAGGCCAUCAGGACACCCGGAGUUGAACAAGGGGUUAGAAAUUGCCCUGAAGGAAGAGGUGGACAACUCUGCCAGACACUGGGAAGAUCAGUGCGGAACACACGGCCAGGAUCCAGCCAGUCAGAACUGACUCCCCCAUCAAUCACAUCUUUGCAGAAAAAUCUACACCAGAGCUUGCUAGAUUCCUAGUAACUCAUGAUGGUGUUAACUGUUGGGGUCUGUACUACGUUUAUCAGCUGUAACAGUCACUGCUAAGGUUUGCAGUUUCCUUUCUGUUGCCAGCGGGAUCACGAGUCCACCGGGAGAAAUGAACAACUCCAGACGCGUGGUCUUAAGAGCUGUACCACUCACCAUGAAGCUCUGUGGCUUCACUUCUGAAUCCAGGGAGGCCACGAACCCACCAGAAGGUAGAAACUGUGAACCCGUUCAAACAUCAGAAGGAACGAACUGGACACGUUGUUCUUAAGAAGUGUAACACUGAUCGUGAGGGUCUGUGGUUUCAUUCAUGAAGUCAGUGAGACGAGGAACCCACCAAUUACAGACACAGUAUGAUGAACCAAAAACCCCAACACUUCCCUGCCAUAAAACAGGAAUCAAAUGAGGCCAGUAACAAAGACAGUUUGAGUCCAGGGCACUGAGUGAAGGCACUAGAUAUGCUGGGACUCAUCAUUGCUUUGGAACAGGGACAGGAUCUGGGUACGAAGUUUCUACCGCUCUUGUGGUGGGGAGUUGGGUUGGGCAUCACUUUCAUACGGCGAGAGGAAACGGUGGUGUCAUCUAUGUUAGCACUGGCUGCAGUGGAGCUUAAAAAACAUGUUGCAAGCUCUCACAUGGGUUCAAGUCUGAAUUUCCACUGCUACGUGGUCUGAAAACUGCAAGCAGGAAUUUACAUUUAAAGCACAUGGAGUCUAUAGUAUCCCCAGGUACUUCAGAGAAGCAAAUAUCAAUACUCCCUCGAGGAGUAAGUCUUCAAACAAGGCUUCCAAGCACCCCACAGGGUUAGUGGCACCAACUUUUAACUACUGUAACUAAUAAGGAGAAGCCAAGGGUACAUAUGAAGAAGUUGUUUAUGAGCAUUUGCCAACAAAAAAAGACCUGCAAAGACGUCAGAUACUGUAAGAACAGAAUACAGAAUAUAAAAUGGGUAUUCUUAAUAUGUUUCAAUGAGUAAAGGCAGAAAUAAGGUGAAGAGUCAGGAUGAAGGGAUCACCGAAGAUGAGCAGACAAAUUUGGGCAAAACUAGAAAUGUAAACUAUAAUAAUUGAAGUAAAAAGAAAACUCAAUGGAAGGGUUAAAAAAUUGCUGGAGAUGAGAGAACAAUUAGUAAACUCAGUUAUUCAAAAAUUAUACUAUUACACAAAGAGAUCAAUACAUUAAAAAUAGAAAAGUUUAAGAGACAAGUAGAAAAUCCACCGUACAUAUAAUCAGAAUUUGAGAGGCAGAUUGUUGAAAAAAAAUGCAAGGAAUAAAUUUUUUUUUUUUUUUUUUUUUUUGAGAUGGUCUCACCCUGCUGCCCAGGCUGGAGUGCAGUGGUGUGAUCUCGGCUCACUGCAAGCUGUGCCUCCCAGGUUCAAGCGGUUCUCCUGCCUCAGCCUCCUGAGUAGCUAGGAUUACAGGCACACGCCACCACGCCCAGCUAAUUUUUGUAUUUUUAGUAGAGACAGGGUUUCACCAUAUUGUCCAGGCUGGGCUCGAUCUCCUGCCUCGGCAUCCCAAAGUGCUGGGAUUACAGGCGGGAGCCACUGCACCUGGCCAAAAUAUUUCAAGAAGUAAUGACCAGUGUUUCUGGAAUGAAUGAAAGACCCAAAUCCAUCGUGUGUCUUUCAUUCCAUUUGAUUUCUCAUUUGGUUUUUCUUUUUGCAGCUGGGAAGUUUCAGGGUUAUUGGCUCAUCAUAGUACCAAAUCAUGACAGAUCCAAAGAAAGACAAAUAAAAGCCAGUCAAUAUUAGGACAUAUUAACAGUGCAACAGCAGAACAACAUAAACAAUAAGGGAUCGUGAAAGAAGAGACACUUUGCCACCGGGCGUGGUAAAUAAGCAUAUGUAAAGAUGAUGUCAACAUCUUGUAUCACCAAGUAUUACAAAUUUUUAAAAAAGGAAAUAGCACUACACACCUAUUAAAAAGGGGAGCAGGCAGGGUGUGGUGGCUCAUGCCUGUAGUCCUAGCACUUUGGGAGGCCGAGGCCGGCAGGUCACUUGAGGUCAGGAGUUUGAGACCAGCCUGCCCAACAUGGAGAAACCCCGUCUCUACUAAAAAUACAAAAGUAUUCGGGCGUGGUGGCAGGCACCUGUAAUACCAGCUACCUGAGAGGCUGAGUCAGGAGAAUCGCUUGAACCCGGGAGGCGGAGGUUGUGGUGAGCUGAGAUUGCGCCACUGCACUGCAGCCUGGGCAACAAGAGCCAAACUCCGUCUCAAAAAAAAAAAAAAAAAAAAAAAAAAAGGGUGAGCAUCCCAAACACCAAUGCUGGCAAGAAUGUGUAGCAAUAGGAACUCUGAUUCAUUGUGCUGGGAGUGGAUGUACUCAUAAAAUGGUACUGAUACCAUGGAGGGCAGUUCGGUGGUUUCCUAUAAAACUAAACAUUCUUUUACUACAUAGUCCGGCCAUUAUGCUCCUUGGUAUUUACCCAAAUGAACACAUCAAUGUUUAUAGUAGCCUUAUUUGUAAUUGCCAAAGCUUAGAAGCAACUAAGAUGUUGUUCCUUAGGUUAAAAAAGAAAAGAAACUGUGGCACCUCCAGACAAUAGGAUAUUAUUUAGUGCUAAAAAUAAAUAAGCUACCAAGUGACAACACCACAUGGAGGAAUGUUAACUGCGUAUAAAUGACAGAAACAAAAACCAAUCCGAAAAGGUGAUGCACUGCAUGAUUCCAGUCAUGUGAUGCUUCGGAAAAGGCAAAACUAUGGAAAUGGUAAAAAGGUCAGUGGUUGCCAGAGGUUAAGGAUAAAGAGAGAUGAUUAGGUGGAGAACAGAAGAUUUUUAGGAUAGUGAAACCAUUUUGUCUGAUAAUAUAAUGGUGGAUAUGUGUGAUUAUACAUUUGUUAAAAACCAUGGAAUGUACAACCCUAAGAGAGAACCCUAAUAUAAACCAUGAAAUUUGAAUAAUAAUGAUGUAUCAUUGCAGGUCUGUAGAUUUGUCAAAUAUGCACCACUGUCGUGGGGGAUGGUAGUAGUGGGGUAGGUUGUGUGUGUAUAGGGACCAAGGGUAUAUGAGAACUCUCUGUACUUUCUGAUCAAUUUUGAUGUGAAGCUAAAACUGGUCUAAAAAAUAAAGUUUAUUAAAUUACAAAAAUCUAACAGGGUUAAAAGGAAAUGGGAAAAUUAAUUUAAAAAUGUAUAUGGGCCAGGCGCGGUGGCUCAUGCCUGUAAUCCUAGCACUUUGGGAAGCUGACACGGGCGAAUCAUGAGGUGAAGAGAUCGAGAUCAUCCUGGCCAACAUGGUGAAACCCUGUCUCUACUAAAAAUGCAAAAAUUAGCCAGGCGUGCUGCAAGGUGCCUGUAGUCCCAGCUACUCGGGAGGCUGAGGCAGGAGAAUCACUUGAACCCGGGAGGCAGAGGUUGCAGUGAGCCGAGAUCGCACCACCGCACUCCAGCCUGGGUGACAGAAUGAAACUCCAUCUUAGAAAAAAAAAAGAAAGAAAAAACAUGUAUAUGGCAGCAUAAAUAUCAAGAACAAAUGGGAGAAACUCUUCAAGUGGAAUGAGGUGGGAACAUAUCCUUCCUCAGACAUCAAGACGCAUUAUAAUCCAUAGACUAUAAGACAGUGGCACUAGCACAACAAUAGACCAACAGAGAAAAGAAAUUUGUUAGAUUGUCUGGAAAUAACACAGUGAAAGUGUGGAGGUUUGAUAAGUGGUGAAAUUAUCCUGUAUGUGAAUGGGGAUAAUAUGCGCUAGUCCAUUGAAUUAAUCGUCUCUCUCUGACUGUUUCUCCCUCUCACUUUCUUUCUGUGUGUGUGUGUGUGUGCAUACAUGAGUGUGUGUGCAUGCGUGUUUGAUGGGGACAGGAGGCAGGGAAACGCUGGGUAGAAGAAGGUGGUUCUUCAGCAAAGGCCCCACCUUCAAGCCUGGAAACUGUGGCUCUAAAUGAAAACAGUUAUCUCUGUUUUCCCGUCCAAUUGUUGCUUUAUUCAAAACCACCCUGGCCCGCCACCCUCAUGCCCCUCCCCCCCUGACCCCGCAUCCUGUACUCAUAAAACCCCCAAACCCCAGGUUCAAUGAGCAGGAGGGCGGCACAGCAGCAGAGCAGCAGAGCGGCAGAGUGGAGAAGGAGAGAAGAGAAGUGUCUGAACAUGGGGAGGAGUUUGGCUGGGGGCGGUCAUAGAAGAGAUUCGCCAUGAGAUGGCUGAACUCCAGGGGACAAUCAUCUUCCCACUCCAUCCCCUCUCCACCUCCCCAUCCCACUGAGAGCCACCUCCACCUCUCAAUGAAAUCCCUGCAUUCACCAUUCUUCAAGUCCAUGUGACCUGAUUCUUCCUGGAAGCUAGACAGGAAUUCAGGAUUCCUGUACCAAUUCCAUUGGGUACAGGAACCAAAAAGACUGUCACGUUGACUCUUCACUGAGCUGUUAAACACUUUAGCUUUCCCUGGGUGGCAGGGCUAAAGGACAUUGUAAUACCCCUAGCCACUGCUGGGGGGUCAGAGCCCAAAUGUGCUCACCCCAGCUCACCUGUGUGCUCUCCCUCCCUUAAAGGGUUUGAACACGCACCAGCCGAAUAAAUGAGCCACAUGCCAUCACAUGUUCCGCGAGGGGUCAGAGAACUCUCCUGUUUCAUGUUGACGGAUGUUGUAAGCAUUAAUGGUUUUAAAUGCAAAAGGAAAACUCGGAAAUGUUAAAGAUAGUAUAGAAUAAUUUCAUUAUGGCCUUUGAAUAGGAAAGUAUUUCUGAAACAGCAUGUAAGAUGUACAAGCCACAAAAACAUCUUGAUAAAUUUGACUACAUUAAAAUUAAAAACUUCUUUUAAUCGAAAGAUACAAUAAAAAAAGCAUAAGUGAUACACAUGCAGGGAAAAUAAUUUUUUUCUUUUUUUUUUUGUGAUGGAGUUUUGCUCUUGUUGCCCACGCUGGAGUACAAUGGUACGAUCUCGGCUCACCGCAACCUCCCUGUCCUGGGUUCAAGCGAUUCUCCAGCCUCAGCCUCCCGAGUAACGGGGAUUACAGGCAUGCGCCACCACACCCAGCUAAUUUUGUAUUUUUAGUAGAGACAAGGUUUCUCCAUGUUGGUCAGGCUGGUCUCGAACUCCUGACCUCAGGUGAUCCACCCGCCUUGGCCUCCCAAAGUGCUGGGAUUACAGGCAAAAGCUACCAUGCCUGGCCUAAUUUUAAAAAAUACAUGAAAUUAAUGAAGCAUUAUGAUCCAGAAUAUAUAAAAGUAUAAUAUAUCAGUAAAUCAACAAAAAUGGGGAAAAGAUGUGAAAAAAUUUCACAGUAGAGGAAAUAACCUGUUAGAAAAAUCUGUAAAAGGUACUAACAAGUACUUUACAGAACAGGAAUAUAAGUGGCCAGUAGAUAUAUAUAAAAAGAUUCUCAAUUCGUAAUAAUCAGUAAAAGGCAAUUUAAUAUUUAAUGAAAUCUCAUGAUACACCUAAUACAUAGGUAAAUAUGACCAGGAUAUAGAACAAGGAUGUCCCUGGGGCAGUUGCUAAGAGUGUGAAUUGGUGCAAUGACUUUCAAAAUCAAUUUGGCAUUAUCUUGUAAACUGAAUGUGAGUAUGCCCAAUUCUAGUAUGUGCUGUAGGAAAAAUGUCUACCCCUUUGCACAAGGAAUCAUACAAAAUAAUGUUUCUAGGAGCAUUGUUAAUAAUAGCAAAAGACAAGAACAAAACCUUGCAAGUAACCAAAUGUCUAUUGGGUCUAUUUGUGGGAAAAUGGAUAAAGAAAUUGAGGUUUAUUCAUGAAUUGGACACUAUAUAAUGGUGAAAAUGAAUAAACUUGAAUUACACAUGUCAGGGUGAUCGAAACUCAGAAAGUUAAUACAUUGUGGAAGCAAGUUGUGGAAAGAUAUGCAGCAUGAUACUGUAUUAUAAAUUCAAAGCCAAGCACACUAGGCAGUGUAUUAACAGCUGUGCAACACGUAUGUGAAUGGAACUCUUGGAGAAAACCCAGGGCCAGGGAUGAAGUAACAGAAGCGAACAGGAGCUUCAGAGAUAACAGUGACGUUCCAUGUCUUAGUGUGGGUGAAGGGGUCAAUGGUGUUUGUUUCAUGAAAAUCUAUCUCUAUCUGCUAUCUGUCUGUCUGUCUGUCUAUCUAUCUAUCUCUCUAUCUAUCUAUCUUCUAUCUAAUCUUAUCUAUCCAUCCUAUCUACAGAUGUAUAUGUUUGUGUGUAUAUAAAUAUACAUCUGUCACAAACAUUCUCUUAUGUGUAUCAAAUAUUUUCAUAAUAAAAACAUUUACAAAAUCUCCUACUCUUUCUAGUCCUGUUAUUCCAUAGUUUCCCCUUCUGUGUCUUGUUUUGUAAACUUAAUGUGUGGGCCAGGUGCAGUGGCUCACGCCUAUAUUCCC
rnacentral:lncRNA from 1 species